CUUGUCCCAGCCGGUGUUACGCUGCGUUUCAUUUAGUCGUUUUGUUAAAGUAGUUGGCUAUGUGUUUCGAUUAUCGUUCUGAUCAAGAUUUGAGCCCAAUAAUUAUUGGUCCAUCUCGCAUUCGUUUCUUCUUCCUCUUCGUUGUUGGUUUCUGUGAUUCACUUCAUCUUCCCUCGAUAAAGAUGGCAAGCUCCUCUGUGCUCCUCAUAUACUGGGUGUAGAUUCUGGUUCGAUGUUGUAAAGAACGUCUAGAUCCAACAAUUUUCGAUCUACACCAGCCAUAGUUGUGAUUCUUCCCAGAACGAUAGACCCAGUUAAAAGAUAUCAACAAACAGUGAACCGAAGUCCCAGUUACCGGAAGAAAGUUGUGCUGUCCGGAUUCAGGUACUGAUGGGGCGGCCUUUUCUGCGCCGAGCACCGUUACUCAGAUCGCCAUGAUUGCAGCUACGACUACAAAACCGUUGACCGGUUGUAAGACUGUCGCUAGGGAAAACCCAGUCAUUAAGCCGGAGAACGUCAAACGCGGUGGCGAGUUGAUGGUGGUUGACAUGCUUUUUCUUAAAACACGUCUUCGUAUUCAAACAGAUUCCAGCGUAUAUAUAAUCUCAAAAUUUUCUAAAAAAUUGUAUCCUAACGUUUAUUUCAACUCUUUCAAAGAAGCAUUGCUAACUAGGACCCAUCUUUAUAUCGUUCUCUCUCUCUGAGUCUCUGUUUGCAUAUUAGGAAAAACUAUAACUUUCUGUCCUUUUCUUUUGAGAAUGAAGGGACAAAGGAUAACCUUUAGUGGACAAAUCCUUAACUAUCAGAACACAGCGGCACACGAGGUGGAACUCCUUGGAGAUGAGAAUACUGCAGCUGAUUUACGAUGUUGGUUUGCGAAGCAAUAGCUAUCUCAAUAAUUAUUCUGUGCCUCAGCUUUACACCACUAGAAGACAAUACAUUCCCGAACAAUAAGUUGUUGAUCUUAUCAAUGGUUAUACAGCGACUAGCUCCAUGACUUUUGGAGAAGCAAAUUCGAGGUUUAGAGAUAUGAGGUUUAGCAAGCAUCAGUAACAGACUUGGUUGCAUUGAGACUAACAAGAAAGUGAAAAAACUACUGGCUUGGUCUCAACGAGUUUGCAGAUUUGAACCCCGAAGAAUUCAAGAACGAAUAUUUGGGGCUCAAGACUGAUAUAGAAAGAGGUGAUGAUGAAAGAUCCUACCAAGAGUUUGCUUAUAAGGACGUUGACGUCGAAGCUUUACCUAAAUCUGUUGACCGGAGAAAGAAAGGAACCAAGGCUCUUGUGAAAGUUAUCGCGUUUUCGAUAGUUGCUGCAGUGGGAGGUAUAAACAAGAUUGUGACAGGAAACUUGACAAUAUUGUCUGAACAAGAACUCAUAGACAGUGGGUUUGUGACACAACUUACAACAAUGGCUGCAACGGUGGUCUCAUGGAUUACGCUUUUGAGUACAUUUUCAAGAACGGAGGUGUUCGCAAGGAAGAGGAUUAUCCUUACUCCAUGGAAGAAGAAACUUGCUAGACGCAAAAAGUUUUUAUGUUACUUCGAAAAAGGGAUUAAAUUGGUUAUACCAAUUCUCUUUAUUUUUAAAUAGGAUGAAUCUGAAAUGGUGACAAUCAGUGGGAACCAAGAUGUACCGAAAAAUGAUGAGAAAAGUCUCUUGAAGGCAUUGGUGUAA